AAUUUAUUGCAGCCCUGAAUCAUAUAUUAAUCAACUGUGAUGAGAUUCAACCAUAUAUUGAGAUAUUUGUGGAGACGUUGCGUGUGGUUGAUCGCAACAUAAGUGAUGAACAUGUUGAUAAGUGCAUUGAAGAAAACUUUGCAGUUUGGUUAAAGAAUUAUGUUGACAAUCCUUCAAAUAACGUGACAGAUCCGAAUAUAAGUGCCUUGGCUUGGGGUCCUUUAAGAAUUGUUAAAACCUGGCCAAUUUAUUGUGUGAAUGGCUUCAAGUUUCAUACCAAAACACAUUCAUUUGGA